UAGUGANGAACGGGUGAGUAACACGUGGGCAAUCUGCCCUGCACUCUGGGACAAGCCCUGGAAACGGGGUCUAAUACCGGAUGACACUCUUUCCUGCAUGGGGAAGGGUUGAAAGCUCCGGCGGUGCAGGAUGAGCCCGCGGCCUAUCAGCUUGUUGGUGGGGUGAUGGCCUACCAAGGCGACGACGGGUAGCCGGCCUGAGAGGGCGACCGGCCACACUGGGACUGAGACACGGCCCAGACUCCUACGGGAGGCAGCAGUGGGGAAUAUUGCACAAUGGGCGAAAGCCUGAUGCAGCGACGCCGCGUGAGGGAUGACGGCCUUCGGGUUGUAAACCUCUUUCAGCAGGGAAGAAGCGAGAGUGACGGUACCUGCAGAAGAAGCGCCGGCUAACUACGUGCCAGCAGCCGCGGUAAUACGUAGGGCGCAAGCGUUGUCCGGAAUUAUUGGGCGUAAAGAGCUCGUAGGCGGUUUGUCACGUCGGAUGUGAAAGCCCGGGGCUUAACUCCGGGUCUGCAUUCGAUACGGGCAGACUAGAGUGUGGUAGGGGAGAUCGGAAUUCCU
rnacentral:rRNA from 1 species